rnacentral:rRNA from 1 species
GAUGAACGCUGGCGGCGUGCCUAAUACAUGCAAGUCGAGCGAACAGAUGAGGAGCUUGCUCCUCUGACGUUAGCGGCGGACGGGUGAGUAACACGUGGAUAACCUACCUAUAAGACUGGGAUAACUUCGGGAAACCGGAGCUAAUACCGGAUAAUAUAUUGAACCGCAUGGUUCAAUAGUGAAAGACGGUUUUGCUGUCACUUAUAGAUGGAUCCGCGCCGCAUUAGCUAGUUGGUAAGGUAACGGCUUACCAAGGCGACGAUGCGUAGCCGACCUGAGAGGGUGAUCGGCCACACUGGAACUGAGACACGGUCCAGACUCCUACGGGAGGCAGCAGUAGGGAUUCUUCCGCAAUGGGCGAAAGCCUGACGGAGCAACGCCGCGUGAGUGAUGAAGGUCUUCGGAUCGUAAAACUCUGUUAUUAGGGAAGAACAAAUGUGUAAGUAACUAUGCACGUCUUGACGGUACCUAAUCAGAAAGCCACGGCUAACUACGUG